rnacentral:lncRNA from 1 species
GUUUAUUAACUCACAGACAGUAGUGACUUUGGACACAAGGAAGGUGUGCACACAGUGUAGUACCAGAAUGCUGAUAAAGGAGUUGGCAGUGGAAACACCACUAUAGCAUGAGACUUUUUCCAGCCACCUUGCGCACAAUAAAUAACUCAGUCCUCUCUCAUUACUCACUAGUCACUUCUACUAGUUUAUUGAAAAAUCUCCUUCCC